rnacentral:rRNA from 1 species
UAGGGAAUCUUCCACAAUGGACGAAAGUCUGAUGGAGCAACGCCGCGUGAGUGAAGAGGGGUUUUCGGCUCGUAAAACUCUGUUGUUAAAGAAGAACAUAUCUGAGAGUAACUGUUCAGGUAUUGACGGUAUUUAACCAGAAAGCCACGGCUAACUACGUGCCAG